AUGGACAUCUCGUCGUUCGUGACGUCGCUUCUGACGUCCUUCGUCAUCUUCGUCGUGCUGGUCCUGGUCUUCACGUGGCUCUCGCGCCGCCCGGGGAACGCGCCGGUGUACUACCCGAGCGUGCUGUUGCGGGGGCUCGACCCGUGGGAGGGGCGCGGACGGGGCACGCGCAGCCCCGUCGGCUGGAUCCGCCAAGCGUUCACGGCGUCCGAGGCCGACGUCGUUGCCGCCGGCGGAGUCGACGCCGCCGUCUACCUCGUCUUCCUCUCAUCCGUGUUGGCAAUCCUUGUGGUCUCUGGAAUUGUGUUGCUUCCACUUCUGUUACCGCUUGCUGCAACUGAUCAUGCCCUGGAGAAUUCUGCUGGCUUCAAAAAUGGCAAAGAGGCGCAGAACUUCACGAUUAUUGAAAGAUUAGCAUUGGGCAAUGUUCAAAAAAAAAGUAUGAGGCUGUGGGCAUUCAUAUUAUCAGUCUACUGGGUCUCCUUUGUCACCUAUCUCGUACUAUGGAAAUCCUACAAACAUGUUUCGAAUCUGAGAGCAGCUGCAAGAUCAACAUCAGAUGUUAAACCAGAGGAGUUUGCCGUGUUGGUGAGAGAUGUUCCUAUACCGCCUCCUGAUCAAACUAUAAAGGACUCGGUGGACUCAUAUUUCCGAGUACUUCAUCCUGACACAUUCUACAAAGCAAUGGUUGUGACAGACAAUAAGGAGGCUGAUAAAAUUUUCCAAGAGAUUGAAGGUCACAAACACAAAAUUGCUCACGCAGAAGCUGUCUAUGCAGAGUCAAAAAAAGGAAACAAACCUGAGGGCACCAAGCCUACUCAUAGGACUGGAUUGCUUGGUCUUAUUGGUAAAAAAGUUGACACAAUGGAGUAUUGUAAUGGGGAGAUCAAGGAAUUACUGCCCAAACUGGAGGCUGAACAGAAGAGCACUCUUCAUGAUAAACAGCAACGUGCUGCCAUUGUCUUCUUCAACAGCAGAGCUGCUGCAGCCUCUGCAUCUCAGACUCUUCAUGCUCAGCUGUUUGAUAAAUGGACAGUCACAGAAGCUCCUGAACCACGUGAUAUGAUAUGGUCCAACCUUCCGAAGAAAAUAUAUGAGAGGCACACCAGACAGACUGUGGUUUAUUUCAUUGUCUUUCUCACAGUCUUUUUCUAUACUAUUCCUAUUACUGCUGUCUCUGCUGUCACGACGCUGGAAAAACUGAGGGAGAAGCUGCCCUUUCUGAAGGUGGUGGUGGACCAACAAUCAGAAGGGAUCCCUUCACAGAGCCAUGUAGUCAGGGCAGCGUCAGGAAAAUAUUUCUACUUCAUUAUCUUCAAUGUCUUCCUUGGCUUUACAAUUAGCUCCUCAUUGUUCAGUGCCUUGAAAACCAUCGUUGAUAACCCUCCUGGGAUUAUUGUGAUGCUAGGCAACAGCCUUCCUGGAAGUGCAACUUUCUUCCUCUCAUUCGUUGCACUGAAAUUCUUUGUUGGUUAUGGGCUUGAGCUCUCUCGCUUGGUCCCUCUCAUCAUUUUCCACUUGAAAAAGAAGUACCUAUGCAAGACUGAGGAUGAAGUGCGGGCAGCGUGGAGUCCAGGGGACUUGGGGUAUAACACCAGGGUUCCAAGUGACAUGCUGAUUGUUACAAUUGUGCUGUGCUACUCCGUCAUUGCACCUUUGAUUAUUCCAUUCGGUGUUGCUUACUUUGCUCUUGGAUGGCUUAUAGCAAAAAACCAGGUUUUGAGAGUCUAUGUUCCUAGUUACGAGAGCAAUGGGCGAAUGUGGCCGCACAUCCACACGAGGGUCAUUGCGGCUCUAAUGAUUUACCAGGCCACCAUGAUUGGUGUCAUCAUACUGAAACUUUUCUUCUAUUCGGCUAUCCUUUUCCCGCUCAUCCCAAUAAGUUUAAUCUUCGCCUACACUUGCCACACACGCUUCUAUCCUGCAUUUGCCAAAACCCCUCUUGAGGUGGCAAGCCAGGAGCUCAAAGAGACACCGAACAUGGGUGCCAUCUACAGUGCAUACAUCCCUCUUUGCCUGAAGCCUGAAAAGCUCGAAGAUGUGGACGUAUUCGAAGAUGCUCAAUCGCGCACUACCUCGAGAGCACCAUCCUUUUAA
rnacentral:rRNA from 1 species